rnacentral:rRNA from 1 species
UACGGAGGAUGCAAGCGUUAUCCGGAUUUAUUGGGUUUAAAGGGUGCGCAGGUGGUUAAAUAAGUCAGUGGUGAAAGUCUGCCGCUUAACGGUAGGAUUGCCAUUGAUACUGUUUAACUUGAGUUUGGAUGAGGUAGGCGGAAUGAGUAGUGUAGCGGUGAAAUGCAUAGAUAUUACUCAGAACACCGAUUGCGAAGGCAGCUUACUAAUCCACAACUGACACUGAGGCACGAAAGCGUGGGGAUCAAACAGGAUUAGAUACCCGGUA